CCUACGGGAGGCAGCAGUGGGGAAUUUUGCGCAAUGGGCGAAAGCCUGACGCAGCAACGCCGCGUGAGUGAUGAAGGCUUUCGGGUCGUAAAGCUCUGUCGAGGGGAAAGAAGUGUAUUGCGGCUAAUAUCCGCGAUACUUGACGGUACCCCUAAAGGAAGCACCGGCU
rnacentral:rRNA from 1 species